rnacentral:lncRNA from 1 species
UUUCUUUUCCUUUGGGUUCUGCUACCCUUUUUAGCCGAGUCACUGUCUUUUUUUUUCCUUCGGAUUCCGCUACCUUUCUUAGCCCAGUCACGAAGGGGCAUGGCUGCAUCAGAAAACACCGCUACCCUUCUUGGCCUAGUCACGAAGGGCCAUGGCUGCAUCAGAAAACAAAACAAAUCAUGACAAAAUUUUGGCUUUCCACAAUUUUUUUUUCUAACUUUAGUUUUCCCCUUGGCUUAUUUUUCGUGCUUGUUACUAUACGGAAAAAUUACACAGGUUUUGUUUGGGUCGGUGUGGUGCACUAAUUUAUAGAUAGUGACCGUCUUGUAUCAAAGGAAAUGUCCACAUCGUAUACAAUCCCUUUUUUUUUUUUAGUUCGCUAUUUAGUUCCAAUAAUUUUCCUGCCCGUUGCUUGGCCAAUAUUAUUAUUUUUUCACUAGUUAAUACAAUUCUUAAUAGUAAUUAUAACUUCCAUUAUCUGAUUUUUAAAAUAUAACUACAAAAAAAGAUUUUUAUCCCAGAAUGCAAUUAACAUCAUUAUAUUCUCUGAAAACUUAUAUAAUGCACGAAAUUUCUAAACCAUUUUCUCUCCCAGAAAAAAAAUAAAAAUAAAUUAAACUUAUGCAAACUGAAACGGACAAAAAUAGAAAUAGAUACUUUUCUUUGAAGAGGGGGAGAGUUUAGUUGAUUAAUUUUCUUCUUUGGUCUUUGAAUUUCACUUUUGAG